rnacentral:lncRNA from 1 species
CUCUAUUUGUGUCCAAAUUAAAAAAAAUAAAUAAAAUUAAUCCAUUAUAUUAAUUACUAAUGUGACGUCAUCAACGAAUCAGAUUAUUUCACCUGUCUCAUCAUGAUUAUUAAAAAAAAGAUAUUUUAUUGUAUUUUUUAUUUAAAAGAGAAGAUAUGAUUUGCUAUUAAUAAAUGAUGCGGUAUGACUGAUACAUAGUAGAAUCUCGUGUAUGGAAAUUGAA